ACCCAGCACUCAGAAAGCUGAGACCCUAAGGUCAUGAGUCUGAGGCCGUCCUGGACUAUGAAUAGUAAAUCUCUCUGUCCUCGAGAAGUUUCAGAUUCAGUCAGAGGGCAGAAACUCUGACAGAAAAGGAUUUGCUUUGCAAUGCUUCCCACCACCUGUUAGGUCUCUGGAUGAACCCAUGCGAGCUUCCAUCAGAUGAGGGAACUGAGGCUCGCUUCAUGGUGCUAUCCAGACCAACCCAACAGGCUAUGUGGAAUGCCCCAGAGCAAUACUGCCCAACCUUCCUGACACUGAGCAGGCUGACAGAAGGAGCAGGAGGAAAGACACAGAAAUGACAAGACUGGAAUUCAGCGGCACAUCAGCAUCUGACUCUCCACCAAGACUCAAAGCUCUAGCCAGACAAGACAACCGGAAGACAGAGAUUUCCAGCACAAGCUCCCCUGACUGAUGUGUGCGCUCCAUACGCUGCCCUGACCUCAGGGCAGAAAGCUCACAAUGUGACUCUGAAGAAUCAGAGGGUCCGCACAGAACUCCGACUUUCCUGCCCCACUUGCUGUGUGACCUGUGCCGGAACAUGUCACCUCUCUAUUCUCUCAAAUGGGGGAAUGAUACCAGUUGCUUCCCAACAAUCUUUUCAGGCUUCCCCUGAGUACUCCACCGCACCAGUGAGAGCCUCGAAAGACUGGCCACAUGAUGGAAUGAAGAAAUAAAAAGAAGAUUCAAAUCAGAGAAUGGAAAUAAAUCCAUAGAAGCCAGUAACACUUCCAUCUCAGGUACCUAUCCUAUCUGAGUGACUUCCUUUGCGUUUUGGAACCUUGGUCACCGUGCAACCCAGACUUCCUAAAGUCAUAAGGACCAGAGAAAGCAGAGAAUCACCAAAGUCCAUCCGAAACAGAGUCCACUCCUAGCUCCGGUCAGCAGCUGUACCUGCUCCUCCUAGCCUGGGGCAUCUGUUUGAAGAAUGACUGAAGAAGUGCCAGGAUUCCCACUCACCUCAA